rnacentral:rRNA from 1 species
CAGUAGCCGCGGGAAUACGUAGGGUGCAAGCGUUAAUCGGAAUUACUGGGCGUAAAGCGUGCGCAGGCGGUUAUAUAAGACAGAUGUGAAAUCACCGGGCUCAACCUGGGAACUGCAUUUGUGACUGUAUAGCUAGAGUACGGCAGAGGGGGAUGGAAUUCCGCGUGUAGCAGUGAAAUGCGUAGAUAUGCGGAGGAACACCGAUGGCGAAGGCAAUCCCCUGGGCCUGUACUGACGCUCAUGCACGAAAGCGUGGGGAGCAAACAGGAUUAGAUACCCCCGUAGUCCCUGUCUCUUAUAC